UACGUAGGGUGCUAGCGUUAUCCGGAUUUACUGGGCGUAAAGGGCACGCAGGUGGUCUUUCAAGUCGGUGGUUAAAUCCUCCGGCUCAACCGUAUUAAGCCGCCGAAACUGGAAGACUUGAGUGCAGGAGAGGAAAGUGGAAUUCUCAGUGUAGCGGUGAAAUGCGUAGAGAUUGAGAAGAACACCGGUAGCGAAGGCGGCUUUCUGGA
rnacentral:rRNA from 1 species